AGUGAACGCUGGCGGUAGGCCUAACACAUGCCAGUCGAACGGCAGCACAGUAAGAGCUUGCUCUUACGGGUGGCGAGUGGCGGACGGGUGAGGAAUACAUCGGAAUCUACUUUUUCGUGGGGGAUAACGUAGGGAAACUUACGCUAAUACCGCAUACGACCUACGGGUGAAAGCAGGGGAUCUUCGGACCUUGCGCGAUUGAAUGAGCCGAUGUCGGAUUAGCUAGUUGGCGGGGUAAAGGCCCACCAAGGCGACGAUCCGUAGCUGGUCUGAGAGGAUGAUCAGCCACACUGGAACUGAGACACGGUCCAGACUCCUACGGGAGGCAGCAGUGGGGAAUAUUGGACAAUGGGCGCAAGCCUGAUCCAGCCAUACCGCGUGGGUGAAGAAGGUCUUCGGGUUGUAAAGCCCUUUUGUUGGGAAAGAAAAGCAGCAGGUUAAUACCCCGCUGUUCUGACGGUACCCAAAGAAUAAGCACCGGCUAACUUCGUGC
rnacentral:rRNA from 1 species